AUCCAGCCGACGAGUCUGAAAUAGGACGAAACGUGAGUCAAACUGGAU
rnacentral:hammerhead_ribozyme from 1 species